CAGAAGAUGAGAGCAAAAGGCAUCAGGCUUCAUGAAGAAUUCUUGAAGGUUAUCCCUUGACUGUAAGACUGUAAUUGAAAAGGUUUUCAAAACCUUUCUGCAUCAGCCAAACAAGACAAUGUACAAAAGAAGUUGGAAAAGGAAUUGAGCCAGGGAGAUGAAGGACUUAUCUCCCUCAUCUCAAAACUCCCUUUGCUGCUAUUUUUUUUUCUUUUUCCUUCAAAUGUUCACAUACCCAUGUUAAUUAAUUUCUAAUCUAAUUAAAAAUAAAUUGUU